CCUGCAGAGACCAGUGCACAGGUUCAUGGGAUGGAACCGUCGCCAGAGAGCCUGGUUCCUGCACUAGAGACUCAGGACAAGGACCUGUUCUUUGAGUUUCUGUGUCUGAGAACUUGGUCUUGAGAGAUGAGGUUUUCGAGCCCCGUGGGAUCGUGUCCGCAGUGUGGGAUGUGCUGAUCUGGAUGUCUGAGAACAAGACUUCACCUACUGUGACUGAGAAAAACUGCGCACGAGGCUCUCGGGUGCGGCAAGGACAGAGCAGACCUUUCCACAAGGCGUGUCAGUUUCAUCAUAAAAGAGUGGUUUGAUGACUCAUGGGAGGCGCAGCAGGAGUGUCAGCAAGGGCACAGCCUGGGGGUCCUGUCUGUCCGCUGCGGGACCCGGGACGGGGCUCGGCACAGAGCGUGUUCCCGGACGAUGGGAACUGGCUCCCCAGGUCAGGGCGAGCAGGACACUCCCGUGUCAUCAGACUGAGACAAAGUGGACAUGCUCUCAGCACAGACAGCCACCGUGUGCCAUGAAAUAAAACAAUCGCGUCAGAGAGUAAUGAGGAUGAUGACGAUGAUGAUGAUGUAAGUGCACGACUGAGCUCUAGUGACACAUCAAAGGGUCCCAGUGGAUUGUAGCUGCUCUCACUGGAAGGGUGGAGAAAGACUUUGUUUCCUAAACACGGAGGAAGUCCAGGUCACUAGAGGGUGUCCCAGAUGUGUCUCUGGACGUUGGCACUUUGCAGAAGAGCCACAGCUUGUCCUGUGCCCUGUCUUCUGUGAAACACCGAGGAUCGGAGAAGGGAGUUUCCAACUCACAUAGGGUUCCAGAACCCGCACCUGCCCGCCUUCCUGCACACCACACUCUGUGUGCUGGGCUGGGCAGAGCAGGCGGGUCUCAGUGGCACAGGGUGAGGCUGGACUGACUGGGCCCCACCCACCAGGUGACAGGUGCUGUGGGGGAACCUGGAGGAGGGAAGCUCCUGCUCUGAGUCUCCUCCACCAGCAGGGGGCGGCAGAGCUGCAGCUGGAGCAGCAGGAGACAGGCUGGGGCUGCCCAGGUGGGGCCUGUCCUUGGUGCAGUGACAGGAUCCACUUUGGUGGAGGGACCACUGACCACCCCCCUCCAGACCUCACACCCUGUGCAGAGACAGUGGCCCUGGGACCCUCACAGUGACCACGGGGCCUAAGGUGGGACCCCAAGUCAGGUGUGAUUUCCUUGUGCUGUUUACAUAAGACAUUGAUGAGAAUGAAAUGAAAAAAGGUGGAGCUAAGGGUGACAACAGCUAGUCCACUGUGGGGAUGGGAAUGUCACAGAAGGAGCCACACCACCUGUGCAGUGAGACCAGGAGCUGUGGCGAAUCCUCAAACACAGACAGUUGUUCAACAAGCAGACGACCCUGUAGUGAAUGAUUCACUGUAUCCUAACAACAGAGACUGUCAUUUGGGUGAAAUGACCAGGUGGGACCUCAGUGAGUUUGGGGACCCAGAGGGGAGAUGGAGGAGAAGGAAGAGGAUGAUCUGGGUCCCCCUUAUGCUGGGGCAGGUGUGGUCAGUUAUCUCACAGUGUCCUGGAAGGGAAACAGCCCUGCUGAGCCUGGCCCAGGACAGACCCCAGCCAGGAGGGUUGGAACAGGGGUCAUGAGGUCAGUCCCCAGGAAGGUGACUGUGACCUCAGGCCUUGGAAGCCGAGGCUGAUUUGCUGACCUGAGAAGCACUGGAGAAAGCCAGGGCACCCCCCUCCCUGCCCAGUCCCUGUGCUGCCCCCGCAGCUGGGUGAGUGACAUCCCCCAAGGAGGAGGCCCAGGGGACACGGAUUUGCAUGAACACCAAACACUCCCUGCCCCCCAGGGCCUGAGAGGGAAUAAGAGAGGCCUGGGGGAGCCCAGCUGUGCUGUGGGUCAGAGGCAGAGCUCUGGGUGUCACCAUGGCCUGGACCCCUCUCCUGCUCCCCUCCUCACUCUCUGCACAGGUUCUGUGGCCUCUCAGCUGACUCAGGUGCCUGCAGUGUCUAUGGCCUUGGGACAGACGGCCAGCAUCACCUGCCAGGGAGAUGGCUUAAGGAGCUACUAUCCCGACUGGUACCAGCAGAAGCCCGGCCAGGCCCCUGUGCUGGUCGUCUAUAGUGACAUCUUUGGUGACAGAACCAGCCCUCAGGGAUCCCUGAGCUAUUCUCUGGCUCCAAAUCAGGGAACACGCCACCCUGACCAUCAGCGGGGCCCAGGCUGGGGACGAGGCUGACUAUCACUGCGGCUCAUAUGCAGGAAGUGACACUCGCCACGGUGGUCUACCUUCAUGGGGAAAUUAGAUCAAAAUCCCCUGUGAGCUCACUCAGAUCACACCAUCCACAUCUCGUCUGGACCCAGAUUUGGAGUCAGUCACUCCAUCGCUUCCCUUUUCAUUGUGUCAACUAAGAGUCACCCACGAGCACGUGCUGAGAUCUGGGACAGUGAGUGCCAGCAGGGAGCCAGCUGGGUACGGAGAGGACAGCAUGUCCAUGACAGGACGCCCGUCACAGACUUAGGCCAAGGUCUGGCUGAGUUUCUCCAUGAGAUGACCAGAGCCCUCCUGAAACCCUGAGCGGCAGAAUGUUCCUGAGGAAUAUUCCAAGAUCCCCUCCCGGGAAGGUGCAGAAGGGAGAGAGUUGUAGGGACUGAUGGGGACAUUGGGUCCUGGCUCAGGAUCAAGGCCAGCCUGGUGCAGAGCAGAGAGUACAGGUUCGUGCAGCUUCCGGAGGAGCACACUCAGGUGUGUUCACCCACAUUCAACUCAGCAACUCGAUCCCCCUAGUUGCACUUUCUCUGCGGCCACACAGGCGGUUUGAACAGGAGUCACCUGUGCGGCCAUGAUGUGAGUCCAGCUGCCAAAAUGGACAGAGAGAAAUUUAUUCUUGGA